rnacentral:rRNA from 1 species
GAUGAACGCUGGCGGCGUGCCUAAUACAUGCAAGUAGAACGAAGGGGGGGGAGCUUGCUCUUCUGGAUGAGAUGCGCACGGGUGUGUAACGCGUAGGUAAACUGCCUGGAAGCGGGGGGUAACUCUUGGAAACGAUAGAUAAUACAGCAUGACAUAAGUUAAUGCAUGAUAACUGUAAAAAAGGGGCAACUGCUCCGCUACCAGAUGGAGCUGCGGUGUCUUAGCUAGUUGGUGGGGUAACGGCUCACCAAGGCGACGAUACAUAGCCGACCAUAGAGGGGGGUCGGCCCCACUGGGACUGGAACCCCGCCCCGACUUCCUCGGGGGGCCGCCGUAGGGGAUCUUCGGCCAUUGACGGAAGUCUUACCGGGCCACGCCGCGUGAGUGAAUAAGGUUUUCGGAUCGUAAAGCCCUUUUUUAUGAGAAGAACGAGUUGUAUAGUGGACUGUUCACACUUUGACGGUACCUUACCAGAAAGCGACGGCUAACUACGUG